rnacentral:lncRNA from 12 species
UACUUCCCGAGCACUCACUCAGUGCCGGGCGCUAUUUACAUUCAAGAUGAUUUUCAGAUUUCUGGCUUCUGCAUUAAGUGCACAGCAAUACUGGGAUUUGUGGGGACAAGGACAAAUUGGGGGCUGUGGGCUCUGGGCUUGGUUGGGCAACAGGAAGUUUGAGACACCUUGAGCCUUGUAAACAAGUGAGUAUUCAGGUAAGAUUUUGAGAAUCAUCAGUAUAUGGAGGGAGGUUGAACCCGUGAAAGCAGGUGACAUGAUGAUGCACCCCGAGUCCUGGCGAGGAGCCACGUGGCAUCACAGGAGGUGACACAUCCUUCACAUGUGCAGGAAGUUGGAGCUAGACCACCCCUGGCUCAAAUCCCAGCCCUCCGUCUAAUUUUUUCAUGUGACAUCAGAGAGCUUACCUUCCCUUUCUAAGCCAAAUACAUGUGUUUAUCUGUGAAAUGGGAGCGAUAGUAUCAUGAGCAUGACCAGCUGUGGAGCACAGAGUCUCCCAGGGCUCUGUAUGAUGUAAGGUUAUGUCAAUCCCCCACUGACUCCGAGCAUCAGGUACUCUUGUCCCCAGUACACAGAUGAGGAAACUAAGGCUCGAGGUUGGACUGGAGCCAAAGCCUAGUUUGAGGCUGUUGCUGACUGAAGCCCCUGCUCCUAGCUUCCAUGUGAUGCUGCCUCAGUGACUUAACCAAAGGAAAAGUAGGAUCCAGCAACCCACUCAGAACAAUGUAAUAUCCAGUUGCCUGAGCCAAAAUACUGGUUUUGUAGGGUUGCUGAGAGGUUCAGGAAUACAAUGCUGAGCGCAGUGACUAGCAUACAGUAGGUGUGCAAUAGCUGAUGGUCACCGUCAUUACUCAAAUCAAGGAUUUUAACGGCAAGCUCAGUAAAAUCCAGAGAUUUAAUUGAGAAGGCUGGGUCAGGACUGGAAUUCAUCAUUUCCUAAUAUUGGCAGGAAAAGCCAGGAAGGAAUAAGCUUUUCCUGGAGCGGAGUCUUUCCAAAUGCAGGAAGUGAGAGGCGAGAAGUCAGACCACCGUCCUGUGGUCUCUACCCAGUCCCGACCCACAGAAGCGGAGCGUGGGCCGCGGCGAGCAGAGAGCACGGGGUGGACUCGCUGGGCGUCCGUACUGACUGCAGGAGGCUCUGCAGACCAUCCCGACUUUAGGAUGAUCAUCAGGACUUUACAGAAGAAGCACCCUCCAGGCCUCCAAAAGAUGCCGGUGAAAACACGACAGACAGAAUCCACCCAUGCCCUGAGUCAAAACUGCAGGCCGGGUGGUGGCUCUGAAGAAGAGGCUGGGAGGGCACGAGAGGAAGCAUUUGCAGGAAUGCAGAGUCCCAGCUGUCUGCAGGUGACAGAUCAAGGUUUGAAGAGCAUCGCCUUCUUAUUCUCCUGUGAAGCCAGAACCCGAAACCUCAGCUCGGUUCCAUGGAAACAAGAAGGCUCACCUGCUCCUUUUUGAACCAAAUUCCAGCAUCCAGCCAACUGACAAGGAGUCGGCCAUGGGGAGCAGGGCAGGAGCCUUUGG